rnacentral:rRNA from 1 species
GAUGAACGCUGGCGGCGUGCCUAAUACAUGCCAGUCGAGCGAACGGACGAGAAGCUUGCUUUUCUGAUGUUAGCGGCGGACGGGUGAGUAACACGUGGAUAACCUACCUAUAAGACUGGGAUAACUUCGGGAAACCGGAGCUAAUACCGGAUAUUAUUUUGAACCGCAUGGUUCAAAAGUGAAAGACGGUCUUGCUGUCACUUAUAGAUGGAUCCGCGCUGCAUUAGCUAGUUGGUAAGGUAACGGCUUACCAAGGCAACGAUGCAUAGCCGACCUGAGAGGGUGAUCGGCCACACUGGAACUGAGACACGGUCCAGACUCCUACGGGAGGCAGCAGUAGGGAAUCUUCCGCAAUGGGCGAAAGCCUGACGGAGCAACGCCGCGUGAGUGAUGAAGGUCUUCGGAUCGUAAAACUCUGUUAUUAGGGAAGAACAUAUGUGUAAGUAACUGUGCACAUCUUGACGGUACCUAAUCAGAAAGCCACGGCUAACUACGUG